rnacentral:rRNA from 1 species
AGUGAACGCUGGCGGUAGGCCUAACACAUGCAAGUCGAACGGCAGCACAGUAAGAGCUUGCUCUUACGGGUGGCGAGUGGCGGACGGGUGAGGAAUACAUCGGAAUCUACUUUUUCGUGGGGGAUAACGUAGGGAAACUUACGCUAAUACCGCAUACGACCUACGGGUGAAAGCAGGGGAUCUUCGGACCUUGCGCGAUUGAAUGAGCCGAUGUCGGAUUAGCUAGUUGGCGUGGUAAAGGCCCACCAAGGCGACGAUCCGUAGCUGGUCUGAGAGGAUGAUCGGCCACACUGGAACUGAGACACGGUCCAGACUCCUACGGGAGGCAGCAGUGGGGAAUAUUGGACAAUGGGCGCAAGCCUGAUCCAGCCAUACCGCGUGGGUGAAGAAGGCCUUCGGGUUGUAAAGCCCUUUUGUUGGGAAAGAAAAGCAGCAGGUUAAUCCCCCGCUGUUCUGACGGUACCCAAAGAAUAAGCACCGGCUAACUUCGUG